rnacentral:tRNA from 1 species
GAGGGUGUAGCUCAGUGGUAGAGUGUGUGCUUACAUGCAUGAGAUCCUGGGUUCAAUCCCCAAUAUCUACA